GACGAACGCUGGCGGCGUGCUUAACACAUGCAAGUCGAACGAAGUGGCGAACGGGUGAGUAACGCGUAAGCCACCUGCCCUUCAGAGGGGGACAACAGUUGGCAACGACUGCUAAUACCGCAUACUGAAGGAGGGGAUUGCGUCGGAUUAGCUAGUUGGUGGGGUAACGGCCACACAAGGCGAUGAUCAGUAGCCGGUCUGAGAGGGUGAUCGGCCACACUGGGACUGAGACACGGUCCAGACUCCUACGGGAGGCAGCAGGGGGGAAUAUUGGACAAUGGGCGAAAGCCUGAUCCAGCCAUGCCGCGUGUGUGAAGAAGGUCUUCGGAUUGUAAAGCACUUUAAGUUGGGAGGCGUUACCAACAGAAUAAGCACCGGCUAACUUCGUGCCAGCAGCCGCGGUAAUAC
rnacentral:rRNA from 1 species